rnacentral:rRNA from 1 species
GACGAACGCUGGCGGCGUGCUUAACACAUGCAAGUCGAGCGGAAAGGCCCUGCUUUUGUGGGGUGCUCGAGUGGCGAACGGGUGAGUAACACGUGAGUAACCUGCCCUUGACUUUGGGAUAACUUCAGGAAACUGGGGCUAAUACCGGAUAGGAGCUCCUGCUGCAUGGUGGGGGUUGGAAAGUUUCGGCGGUUGGGGAUGGACUCGCGGCUUAUCAGCUUGUUGGUGGGGUAGUGGCUUACCAAGGCUUUGACGGGUAGCCGGCCUGAGAGGGUGACCGGCCACAUUGGGACUGAGAUACGGCCCAGACUCCUACGGGAGGCAGCAGUGGGGAAUAUUGCACAAUGGGCGGAAGCCUGAUGCAGCAACGCCGCGUGCGGGAUGACGGCCUUCGGGUUGUAAACCGCUUUCGCCUGUGACGAAGCGUGAGUGACGGUAAUGGGUAAAGAAGCACCGGCUAACUACG